CGGAACAGUUCUCAAAGAGAAACUGGACCGAGACGAAUUUGGCUGCCGAGUUAAAGCUAUUUAUAACAAACUAUUGGCUCACCAGAUGGUAGAAAUAUACUCUAUCACGUGACCUUAUUAGGGGCCGUGAUUGGUCAGUUUGCGUUCUGGCGGGAACGGUUCGAAGAAGGUGCCGAUUCGAAUAAUGAUCAGUCACGUGAUGGACAAGGAAUGGGUUCUCUACUACGCUCGCAUUUAUUUAUAUUUAAAUGAGAAGAUAGUAUGUAAUGGCGAUAUAUAUUUUUUAUGUCACUUUGAUUUUGUGCCAGAAGAAAGCUUUGAAAGUGUACAGCUUCUACAAGAUGAUCAACCUAUAUAAACGCACGCGCACACACACGUAUAAAAAUUGCCUUCUCAUAUUUUUCCUUUUACCAACUUACAUACAAUAGAUAAGUGACACUACACUCUAACUAAACAUCUAUCCUUUCAGAAGAUUCUAUUUCACUGCUAAUUAGAUCACCUAGGUAACAGAAACUAUUUACUACCUCUUGAGAUCUUCCUGCAUGCUUGGGAAAGCCUAUUUCCCGUACAUCCUUACUCUUUAUUGCUCCUGAACAUCUUCCACAUACGGACACUAAUUUCUCUGUUAUAAACCUACGAUUCCAUUGCACCUCUUGUAUAUCCAUAGUUUGCAUCGGGUGCAUUGUAUUUUUGUCUUACAUUCUGAGCAAGGCUGUUUCCCUGGUGUCUCUCUCAAAGUGAAAGACAUUGUAUGAAGCUUAUGUACGAAGAGCAAUGGUAUAUGGUAUUUAGACAUAGGCCCUGAAUGCGGAGGACUUGAGAAGGCUAGAAAGACAAGAAGCGAGCAUGUUCUGUUGAAUGUGCAACGUAAGUGUACAUGAACGACAAGACACGAAUACAUUGAAAGAAAAAUUAGGCGUAAGAGGAACCAGAUGUAGAGUGCAAGGAAGAAAACUUCACGGGUCUAUACAUCUGAUGCGUAUAGAUGAGAAGAGGUGUAUAAAGUGCUGAUCACUUAAGUUGGGUGGAGCUUGUGGAAGAGAUCCAGGAAGACAUGGAACAAAGAAGUGAAGGCUGAUCUUAGGACUUUGAACCUCAUGGAAGAGAUAUCAAAGGACUUGGAUAUGCAUUAAUCAAGAAGACUAGCCAGUCUUGACGAAACAGAUCCUGGAAAUACAAUGUGUGUGUGAGAGAGAGAGAGUGCGUGUACACAUACAAAAUUGCGCUUUCAACCAAUUACUUUUUUAAGCUUUCCCUCACCACCUACCAUCUUCCUAUCACUAGCCCUACUACUAUUACUUUAAUAUUCUGCUGUUGUAAUUGGAAUUAAAUGAAAGUAGAACUAAGUAUUUCGUCGUAUUCUUCUGUGAAACCAGUUAUCAUUCUCACUGUUCAGAAUCACAUCACUCGUCAUCUCUCCUUAAUUUUAAAUAUUGUCCCUCUCCGCAAUUAUUUUAUAACGAUCACCCUUCACUGCACCAAAUUAUCUCUUUUUCUCUACUACCAUGUAUCUCUCACUCUACAUGUACAAGGUUUACCUCUUCCCCUCGCUCACGUGCUAUUGCCAACGAGGAAACACAAGAAGACAGCAAUCAUGUGUGAAGAUGGAGCAAUCACUAUGUAUAUCAUUGUUCAGUUUUAUUUCAAGAUUGCGUUUGUGCAUGCAUUUGUGCGUGUGUGUGUGUAUUUCGUGCAGAAACUGCGGCUAUAAACAGAGAGCCAGCUUUGUUGCUUAUUCAGACAAAAGAAUUGUGUGUUCCAUUUCAGUCGCAGUUUUUGCUUUAGAAUAAUGAUGCUAAAAUCUUUGGAAACAGCACCGUAACAACGAAAUCAUUUCUUUCAUCGUUUAGUAAGGAAGCACAACACAACGAUUCAUUGUUUACACCUCAAAACGAACGUCAGAUGGCAUUGGUAAUUAAAGAGUCUUUUUACUUCACAUGCAUCAUCAAUAUUUAUCAUCUUUUAAAAAGAGUAAAAGAAGCUGCUACACCGAACAGAUAGAACCCGUUUUGUAGAAAUCUGUGGUAUAAGUUUCUCUGAAAUAUUUCAUCUGAGUGAGAUUAUUUGUGACACUUUUUUACUUUGCUCUCUGGAAUGUGGAGAAGAUGAAUUUGUAGUCUAAUGAAACUUGGACAAGUUUGUAAAGGAGUUUGCAGCAUCCUCAGAUGCCUCACUGUUAACAGUUGAUGGAAAUAUAGCAGGAGAAAUAUCUGUUGGAAAUGAAAUACAAAAUUAAUGAAGAAAACUUUAUUGGGAAGAGAGAAGAAGUAUAGUGGAAAAUUAAUUCUGUGUAAACAGUUUAAAGACAAAAUAUAAUAUAAAAAGCUUGGCUUUUUGCAUGAGAUACUGUAAGAAACACAUACAACCUCAUAUUAACCUUGAAGGCUAUUUUCUUCAAAGAGUAGCCUAACUACUUGCAAAUUUAUUCAUACAGGAGAAAAACACCAUUUCAGUCAAAUAUUUGUGGUAAGUUGUUUCUUCGAAGCAGUAACUUAACUAAACACAAACAUAUUCAUAGAGCAGAAAGGUCAUAGCAUUUCGACAUCUGUGGUAAAUCAUUCUCUUGAGCAAUUGCAUUAAAUGCACACAAACGCAUUCAUACAAGAGAAAUGUAUAAAUCAUUUUUAGGCAGUAGUAACUUGCCUAGGAAGAAACGCUUUCAUAGAAGAGAAAAACCUUGUCUCUGCAAUAUCUGUGGUAAAUCAUUCUCUGUAGGUGUCACCUUAACUGAACACAAACGCAUUCACACAGGAGGAAAGCCAUAUCAUUGCGAUAUAUGUGGCAUAUCCUUCUCCAGAAAUAGUAACUUAAUUAGACACAAACAUCUCCAUACAGGAGAGAUGCCCUAUCACUGUGAUGUCUGUGGUAAAUCAUUCUCUGUAAGCAGUAACUUAAUUACUCACAAACGCACUCAUACAGGAGAGAAACCAUAUCAUUGUGAUAUCUGUGGUCAGUCAUUCUCUCAAAAAGUUUCUUUAACUACUCACAAAUACACUCAUACAGGAGAGAAACCAUAUCCUUGUGAUAUCUGUGGUAAAUCCUUUUCUCUAACUGGCUAUUUAACUAUUCACAAACGCACUCAUUCAGGAGAGAAACCAUAUCAUUGUGAUAUCUGUGGUACAUCAUUCGCUCGAAGUAGUUACUUAACUUCUCAUAAACGCACUCAUACAGGAGAGAAACCAUAUCAUUGUGAUAUCUGUGGUAAAUCAUUCUCUGUAAAUGGUUAUUUACCUGUUCACAAACGCACUCAUACAGGAGAGAAACCAUAUCAUUGUAAUGUGUGUGGUAAAUCAUUCUCUCAGAAUAGUUACUUAACUAUUCACAAAUAUACUCAUACAGGAGAGAAACCAUAUCAUUGUGAUAUCUGUGGUAAAUCGUUCUCAGUAAAUUCUAACUUAACAAAACACAAAGACAUACAUAUUAGAAUGGAGCCAUAUUACUGUGAUGUUUGUGGUAAAUCAUUUGCUCAGAAAAGAUACUUAAAUGUGCAUAAACGUGUUCAUACAGGAGAAAAACCAUACCACUGUAAUAUCUGUGGUAAAUCGUUCCUUCGGAAAGCUAAAGUAACUGUUCACAAACGCAUUCAUUCAGGGGAAAAGCCAUAUCAUUGUGAUAUUUGUGGUAGAUCAUUCGCUGAAAGUGGUACCUUAGCUAUACAUAAACGUCUGCAUACAGGAGAGAGACCCUAUAGCUGUGACAUCUGUGGUAAAUCAUUCUCUUACAAUGGUAUCUUAAUUAACCACAAACGCCUACAUACAGGAGAAACACCUUAUCAUUGUGAUGUCUGUGGUAAAUCAUUCACUGAAAGUAACAAUUUAACUGUACACAAACGUGUCCAUACAAGAGAGAAACCAUAUCGCUGUGAUGUUUGUGGUAAAUCAUUCUCUCAAAAUGGAAACUUAACUGUGCAUAAACGUGUUCAUACAGGAGAAAAGCCAUAUUGCUGUCAUAUCUGUGGUAAAUCAUUCUCUCAGAAUCAUUGCUUAAAUAUUCACAAACGCACUCAUACAGAAAUAGAACCAUUAUCACCGUGAUAACUGGUAAAUCACCCUCUCGAAGGGGACUGUUAGAUUAUCACAAAUGUAUUCAUAUAAGAAAUAUAUAUACUGUGAGAUCUGCAGUAAAAUAUUAUUGAAAUCAAGUGACUUAACUGUACAUAUCUGCGUUCAUUCAAGAAAAAGUUCAUAUGCAUUCUAAAUCUCUUUAAGAAGUAACUUAAUUACUCAUGAACACCUUGAUACAGGAAAUGAACCAUUUCAAUAUAGUAAAACAUUCUGUAAAUGUCUUUAUGCAACAGUACAGGCAUAUGUUUGCAGCAAGUCAGAUGACAUUGGUAAUUAAAGAGGCUUUUUACUUCACAUGCAUCAUCAAUAUUUAUCAUCUUUUAAAAAGAAUAAAAGAAGCUGCUACACCGAAUAGAUAGAACCCGUUUUGUAGAAAUCUGUGGUAAAAGUUUCUCUGAAAUAUUUCAUCUGAGUGAAAUUAUUUGUGGCACUUUUCUACUUUGCUCUCUGGAAUAUGGACAAGAUGAAUUUGGAAUGUAAUGAAACUUGGACACGUUUGUAAAAGCGUUUACAGCAUCUUCAGAUGCCUAACCGAUAACUGUUGAUGGAAAUAUAGUAGGAGAAAUAUUUGUUGGAAAUAAAACACAAAAUUAAUGGAGAAAACUUUAUUUGGAAGAGAGAAGUAUAGUGGAAAAUUAAUUCUGUGUAAGCAGUUUAAAUACAAAAUAUAAUAUAAAAAGUUUGGUUUUUCGCACGAGAUACUGCAAGCAACACACACAACAUCAUAUCACUCUCAAAGUCACGCAGACACAUUGAAAUGUAUAAAUCAUCUUUAGGCAGUAGUAACUUAUCUAGGAAGAAAUGCUUCCAUAGAAGAGGAAAACUGUAUUUCUGUGAUAUCUGUGGUAAAUCAUUCUCUGUAAGAUUUAACUUAACUGUACACAAAAGCAUUCACACAGGAGAGAAGCCAUAUCACUGUGAUGUCUGUGGUAUAUGCUUCUCC